rnacentral:sRNA from 1 species
CUGCGCCCAGCGGAGCUCCGAGCACGUGCGCAGAGGCUGGCUGUGGCAGAUGCAACUGCAGGAUGACUUGAAAGUAGGGCAUCCUUCACCCAUCUGAAGGGAGGAAAUAGUGGCAGGUGACAGUCUGCAUGUGCAGUUUUCAGAUGCCUUCACCUGAAUGACAUCUACCUCCGUCAGGACCCCAGAUGUCUGACAGCCCUGUGUGACACCAAGAUAAGUAACGAUCCCGUUGAAGAUACCACAUUACACUUAGGCUCCUGUUGGCCAUGACAGCUUCUUAGACUUGUUUUUAAUGACCUUGACAGUUUUGUUUUUUUUUUGUUUGUUUUUGAGACGGAGUCUCUGUCAUCCAGGCUGGAGUGCAAUGUAAUGGCUCAAUCUCAGCUCACUGCAACCUCUGCCUCCCGGGUUCAAGUGAUUCUCCUGCCUCAGCCUCCCCAGUAGCUGGGAUUACAGGCACGAGCCACCGUGCCCAGCCGCCUCCUAAAUUCUUAAAACGUUCCAUUUUUAUUCUGUGGUCUUAGUUUAUUCUGUCAUGUAGAGAAUAGUGGUUGAGCCUGUUGUCUUUUGAGAGUGGAUGCUGUAGUCCUUACAUGGCUGACUUUCACCCCGUAAGCUUAUAGUAGAG